UACGUAGGGGGCAAGCGUUGUCCGGAUUCAUUGGGCGUAAAGGGUGCGUAGGCGGCGCGGUAAGUCGGAUGUGAAAUCUCGGAGCUUAACUUCGAAACUGCAUUCGAUACUGCCGUGCUUGAGGACUGGAGAGGAGAAUGGAAUUUACGGUGUAGCGGUGAAAUGCGUAGAUAUCGUAAGGAAGACCAGUGGCGAAGGCGGGUCUCUGGACAGUUCCUGACGCUGAGGCACGAAGGUCAGGGGAGCAAACGGG
rnacentral:rRNA from 1 species